rnacentral:rRNA from 1 species
CGGGGGGAGCAAGCGUUGUUCGGAUUUACUGGGCGUAAAGGGCGCGUAGGCGGCCACCGCAAGUCAGUUGUGAAAUCUCUGGGCUUAACCCAGAAAGGUCAACUGAUACUGCGGGGCUAGAGUGCAGAAGGGGCAACUGGAAUUCUCGGUGUAGCGGUGAAAUGCGUAGAUAUCGAGAGGAACACCUGCGGCGAAGGCGGGUUGCUGGGCUGACACUGACGCUGAUGCGCGAAAGCUAGGGGAGCGAACGGGAUUAGAUACCCCGGUAGUCCUAGCCUUAAACGAUGAAUGCUUGGUGUCUGGGGUUUUAUAGUCCCCGGGUGCCGUCGCUAACGCUUUAAGCAUUCCGCCUGGGGAGUACGGUCGCAAGACUG